UGAGCUCUGUUUCUUAUAAGAUGUGUUACUGUGGACGUAUUAUGGAGCCUCUCUGACCCCUGGGUUCUCCAUCUUCACACCAGAGCAGUUGUAAGGACCAAGUAAGAUGAUUAUACAAGGGCAUUAACACAGCACCUGGCAUAGAGCAAGCAAGUACUCAACACAGAGUACCUGUUACUAUUACUAAAAAAUACUUCUGCAUUUUGCUUUCUCAUUCACGCCUCACUUACUCUGGUAGGUUGGCAUUAUUCUCUCAGGUUUUUGGAUGAGAAUUUGAAGCUGAUUUGCCUAGUGCUAUGUCACCAGCAAGGAGUCGAGCUGUUUCAAAUGCCUUCAAACUUGGACUGGAAAUCUUCUAAAUCUUAAAGGAACCACAGGCUGGAGAGUGAAGCUAGGUAUCUGCUAUGCUCAAGACAUCUGCUCAGUGCUGAGGAAACAAGCAUGGACAAGAUAUGUACUCCACCUUCAGGAGCUCCUAAA